rnacentral:sRNA from 1 species
GAGAAUGGACUCUGACUGACGUUUCAGAGCUAUGCUGGAAACAGCAUAGCAAGUUGAAAUAAGGCUAGUCCGUUAUCAACUUGAAAAAGUGGCACCGAGUCGGUGCUUUUUUU